ensembl:ncRNA ZK389.1 ncRNA
UUGAAUCAAAAACCAAAACGAUGUAGAAAAAAAAACGAAAAAGGUAGAAGAACCAAUAAAAACGAGAUAGCGGUCCCUGGAGACGUUUUGAGGUGAAUCUUAUCACCGUGCUCAAUCGCAUUGCUUUUUCUACGCC